AUGAGAAUAACGUUAAUUUGUUUAGUGAGGUUAGGAAAUUCACUUAGUCGUGAAAAAGGGUAUUUACUUUUAUCUUAAAUUAAAUAUUGAUACAUUUACUGUAAAUAAUGAUUCUCUGAGUAUUUAUCUUUUUUAUUAUAUUUAGAUAUUACAGAUGAUUCGUUUUAAUUAAAAAAUUGCCUACGCAUGUACACAAUCUGAUGAAGUGAGUGGCCGUAAAAUGGCUACUAAAGUUAAAAAUCAAGAAGAUGAUUUAGAGAGUGGAAGUACAACUGCAGAGGAUAACAGAAGUGAGCAUGUAGCAGAAUCGAAUGGUAACAUGGACUUCUUCAAAACGCUAGCACGUGGAACGCACUAUGGAAUAAGAUUGUCUGCGACAUGUCGGAUGUCUGCACUAAAGGCAUACAAAUGAAGAAAUAUUUAGCAGACUUUUACGACCAAACAAUCGCAUUAAACACAGCUACCUAGUGAAUAUUCUAAUUUAUUAUCUAAACUGUACGAUGUUACAUUGCAAAACAAAAUGACAGAAAACAAGGAGGCUCUAGAUAAGGAUUUCACCAUUGCUGUAGCAGGUAUAUAAAAUUAUAUUUUUAAAACUUCUAUUUUGUAUUUAGAUCUCAUAUGUGUGAAGGAUUCAGUCACCUUUUUCAGGUUAAGUGGUUUGAAUAUUUUUUCUGCAAAUAUUUUUUACCUUAGCUACAGACCAAAUUGUUAAGACAUGCUUAUAAUCAACAGGUGAAACAGAAUCCCUUGUGCGAAGUUUUAUGAACGUAUUAGUUGGCUCGGAAGUUAUCCCGUACUUUCUCGUCACUGAACCCUCAAUCGUCUGUUCCAUUCACGCCAUACCAUAUGAAGACGAACAAUUCAUCCACAUUCAGAUGGCGAACAACGAAGAGGAUAUAAUACUUUGCGGCAAUAUUAGUUCGUUAAAAAAGACGUGGAAAACGCUUCAGGCAACAUUAAAAGGGAAAACCUGUCAUCGUGUAGAAAUUUGCUGGCAUCUUCCAUAUUUUAGAAAUACGAAAAACGUAAAAAUAACCAGCAACCCAUUCAACGAGGACUCUGAAAAAAUGGCUAGCUUUGUAUCCUAUGCAUCAAUCCUGAUAUAUGUUUGGCGCAGGACUAAAACGACUUUUGAAAACGAAGACAAG